UGUGACAUACCACUUGUUGCCUCGGCGGAUCAGCCCGCUCCCGGUAAAACGGGACGGCCCGCCAGAGGACCCCUAAACUCUGUUUCUAUAUGUAACUUCUGAGUAAAACCAUAAAUAAAUCAAAACUUUCAACAACGGAUCUCUUGGUUCUGGCAUCGAUGAAGAACGCAGCAAAAUGCGAUAAGUAAUGUGAAUUGCAGAAUUCAGUGAAUCAUCGAAUCUUUGAACGCACAUUGCGCCCGCCAGUAUUCUGGCGGGCAUGCCUGUUCGAGCGUCAUUUCAACCCUCAAGCACAGCUUGGUGUUGGGACUCGCGUUAAUUCGCGUUCCUCAAAUUGAUUGGCGGUCACGUCGAGCUUCCAUAGCGUAGUAGUAAAACCCUCGUUACUGGUAAUCGUCGCGGCCACGCCGUUAAACCCCAACUUCUGAAUGUUGACCUCGGAUCAGGUAGGAAUACCCGCUGAACUUAAGCAUAUCAAUAAGGCGGAGGAA
rnacentral:rRNA from 1 species